UUACCGAGUGCGGGUCCUUUGGGCCCAACCUCCCAUCCGUGUCUAUUGUACCCUGUUGCUUCGGCGGGCCCGCCGCUUGUCGGCCGCCGGGGGGGCGCCUCUGCCCCCCGGGCCCGUGCCCGCCGGAGACCCCAACACGAACACUGUCUGAAAGCGUGCAGUCUGAGUUGAUUGAAUGCAAUCAGUUAAAACUUUCAACAAUGGAUCUCUUGGUUCCGGCAUCGAUGAAGAACGCAGCGAAAUGCGAUAACUAAUGUGAAUUGCAGAAUUCAGUGAAUCAUCGAGUCUUUGAACGCACAUUGCGCCCCCUGGUAUUCCGGGGGGCAUGCCUGUCCGAGCGUCAUUGCUGCCCUCAAGCCCGGCUUGUGUGUUGGGUCGCCGUCCCCCUCUCCGGGGGGACGGGCCCGAAAGGCAGCGGCGGCACCGCGUCCGAUCCUCGAGCGUAUGGGGCUUUGUCACAUGCUCUGUAGGAUUGGCCGGCGCCUGCCGACGUUUUCCAACCAUUCUUUCCAGGUUGACCUCGGAUCAGGUAGGGAUACCCGCUGAACUUAAGCAUAUCAAUAAGCGGAGGAAAAGAAACCAACCGGGAUUGCCUCAGUAACGGCGAGUGAAGCGGCAAGAGCUCAAAUUUGAAAGCUGGCUCCUUCGGAGUCCGCAUUGUAAUUUGCAGAGGAUGCUUUGGGUGCGGCCCCCGUCUAAGUGCCCUGGAACGGGCCGUCAGAGAGGGUGAGAAUCCCGUCUUGGGCGGGGUGUCCGUGCCCGUGUAAAGCUCCUUCGACGAGUCGAGUUGUUUGGGAAUGCAGCUCUAAAUGGGUGGUAAAUUUCAUCUAAAGCUAAAUACUGGCCGGAGACCGAUAGCGCACAAGUAGAGUGAUCGAAAGAUGAAAAGCACUUUGAAAAGAGAGUUAAACAGCACGUGAAAUUGUUGAAAGGGAAGCGCUUGCGACCAGACUCGCCCGCGGGGUUCAGCCGGCAUUCGUGCCGGUGUACUUCCCCGUGGGCGGGCCAGCGUCGGUUUGGGCGGCCGGUCAAAGGCCCCUGGAAUGUAGUGCCCUCCGGGGCACCUUAUAGCCAGGGGUGCAAUGCGGCCAGCCUGGACCGAGGAACGC
rnacentral:rRNA from 1 species